UGGAAUUACAUUAUGAUUUUAAAGGGAAAAAAGACUCACAGACACUGAUUUUAAAGGCACAACGGAACUCUCCCACAGAGCCAAUUUAUUUUGGGAACGAAUGGUUGACUAAGGGGAAGAGAAGAGAGGAAAUCAAAGCCCUCUAGAGAGGAUACCAUGGGAAAUAAAAACUAGACCUAAACAACUUACCGGUACUGAGGUGCAAGUUCUCCUUCCUUGACGAUGUAGUUUUGAGCAGGAAAUUCUUCUCCUUUGAAGUA
rnacentral:misc_RNA from 1 species